CCAGGACUCCACUUUCCAAAUGGGACAGGAUGAACUGCUGUUACACUGCUAUCCAGUGAGUGACAGCCUCAGAAGUCAUCAACUACCAUGAUGAGAGGAGAACUGCAUCCUGCCAUCCUGGAUCUUCACUGAGGGCAUCUCAGCCUCAUGAGGACUGGGCUGUGAGGAGUCUCCAGGCUCUGAGAAGACGGCCUCACUAGACCUGGUCUUAGAGGAGACUGCUGUCAAGAAGGCAGGUCAUCAGCUUGGCGUUCCUGUGACUCAGCAUGAACAAGGAGCUUGCAUCAGCGGGACUGCACCCUUAUCAUUCACCUGCCCACGUGGUUUGGUAAACAUUCGGCAUGUAAAAUGGCUUAGUGGCUCAUGGCUGAGAAAUGUAAAAGCAUAUGUUUGAGUGAUUUUAUCAUUUUUAAGAUAAGAACUGUCAUGCAGAAGAGAAAGGAGGAAAACAGUUUGU